rnacentral:rRNA from 1 species
UACGGAGGAUGCAAGCGUUAUCCGGAAUGAUUAGGCGUAAAGCGUCCGCAGGUGGCUAUGUAAGUCUGCUGUUAAAGAGCAAGGCUCAACCUUGUAAAGGCAGUGGAAACUACAUGGCUAGAGUGCGUUCGGGGCAGAGGGAAUUCCUGGUGUAGCGGUGAAAUGCGCAGAUAUCGGGAAGAACACCCGUGGCUAAGGCGGCUCUCUAGUACGGUACUGACGCUGAGACGCGAAAGCGUGGGGAGCGAACAGG